rnacentral:rRNA from 1 species
GACGAACGCUGGCGGCGUGCUUAACACAUGCAAGUCGAACGGAAAGGCCCUGCUUUUGUGGGGUGCUCGAGUGGCGAACGGGUGAGUAACACGUGAGUAACCUGCCCUUGACUUUGUGAUAACUUCAGGAAACUGGGGCUAAUACCGGAUAGGAGCUCCUGCUGCAUGGUGGUGGUUGGAAAGUUUCGGCGGUUGGGGAUGGACUCGCGGCUUAUCAGCUUGUUGGUGGGGUAGUGGCUUACCAAGGAUUUGACGGGUAGCCGGCCUGAGAGGGUGACCGCCCACAUUGGGACUGAGAUACGGCCCAGACUCAUACGGGAGGCAGCAGUGGGGAAUAUUGCACAAUGGGCGGAAGCCUGAUGCAGCAACGCCGCGUGCGGGAUGACGGCCUUCGGGUUGUAAAACGCUUUCGCCUGUGACGAAGCGUGAGUGACGGUAAUGGGUAAAGAAGCACCGGCGAACUACGU